rnacentral:rRNA from 1 species
CCUACGGGUGGCAGCAGUGGGGAAUCUUCCGCAAUGGGCGAAAGCCUGACGCAGCAACGCCGCGUGAUCGAAUGAAGGCCUUCGGGUUGUAAAGAUCUGUUGACAGGGACGAAUAAGCCAUGCGAAUAGUUUGGUGUAUGACGGUACCUGUUUAGAAAGCUCCGGCUAACUACGUGCCAGCAGCCGCGGUUAUACGGAGGGAGCAAGCGUUGUCCGGAAUUACUGGGAGUAAAGGGCGCGUAGGUGGGUGCUUAAGUCAGGUGUGAAAACUCUGGGCUCAACCUGGGGACUGCACUUGAAACUGGAUAGCUAGAGGGCGGGAGAGGAGAGUGGAAUUCCUAGUGUAGCGGUGAAAUGCGUAGAGAUUAGGAGGAACACCAGUGGCGAAGGCGACUUUCUGGACUGAACCUGACGCUGAGGCGCGAAAGCGUGGGUAGCGAACGGGAUUAGAUACCCGGGUAGUC